GACGAACGCUGGCGGCGUGCUUAACACAUGCAAGUCGAACGGAAAGGCCCUGCUUUUGUGGGGUGCUCGAGUGGCGAACGGGUGAGUAACACGUGAGUAACCUGCCCUUGACUUUGGGAUAACUUCAGGAAACUGGGGCUAAUACCGGAUAGGAGCUCCUGCUGCACGGUGGGGGUUGGAAAGUUUCGGCGGUUGGGGAUUGACUCGCGGCUUAUCAGCUUGUUGGUGGGGUAGUGGCUUACCAAGGCUUUGACGGGUAGCCGGCCUGAGAGGGUGACCGGCCACAUUGGGACUGAGGUACGGCCCAGGCUCCUACGGGAGGCAGCAGUGGGGAAGACUGCACGAUGGGCGGAAGCCUGAUGCAGCAGCGCCGCGUGCGGUAUGACGGCCUUCGGGUUGUAGACCGAUUGCGCCUGUGACGAAGCGUGAGUGACGGUAAUGGGUAAAGAAGCACCGGCUAACUACGUG
rnacentral:rRNA from 1 species